GCUCCCUCAAAAGGGUAGAGUAGAAAAAGGUUCACCUGUGACCAAAUCAUUCAGGGACAGCUGUGCAUCAUCACCUCGUUAAGCACUGAUAGGUCAGCUGGGGGCUGGCAACAUUUAAAAACCCUCCACAUAGAUUUGGUCUGCAGUGGAGUCGUCCCAUUGUAAUUAUGACAGCAAUCCUCUUUACAUGGGUCUUCCUCCAAGCUAUCCUGCUUUGGGAUAUCGAAUGUAGCCCUAUUAAAAAAGGGUUUGCCCCACAAUAUAAAGGCGGGUAUUCUCAAGAUCCGUGGGGUGCCCAACCCAAAGAGCAGCUGUACCCCAGCCAUGAAACCUCUGGCUCCAUGUCUGGACCCGGUGCACAGGGUUUGUCCUCGGGGGCGCUGCCUUCUCCUCCCCCUACAGGAUUCAACGGAGGCUAUUCUUCCCCAAAGGGCUCAUCUCAAGGCUCCUGGGCAAUUCCUCCACGCACGUUCUCUGGUGGGUCAAGAGCCGCUUCUGACGGUCACGCUGGCCCCAAGGGACAAAUGGCCGGCCCCAGCAGUGCGCCCCCACCUGGACCAGAGUUCAUCCCAGGAGAGCUGCUCAACAUCGAGAGCACAAUGGAGGACGGACACUAUGAGUCUGAGACCCAGGAACGCGGUGUACCCCCACCGCCAUCGUAUGAAGCUGCUGUAGGUCAGGCUGAGGCCUUCCCCAGCCCUGCAGCCCUUAUGCCCCAGGCUUCAUUAGGGUAUUUCUACCCUUACGAUGCGAUGUUCAUCACUGGCCAGUAUCCUCCGGGAACCUACACCCAGUCUAGCAGUAGUGUUGAGCGUGGCAGAGAUGACUGGCAGGAAAACCGUUACAUCCGAUAUGACUACCCUGCCAAGAACCAGGAACAGCAGAUGCAGAGUUACUCACAAUACUCGGAUCAGAGCUACCAGCCGGCUGAGCCAGAAGGACCUGGAAAAGGCCAGGAUGUGGAGCAGCAGUUCCAGGCCUAUGAAGGUCAAUGGGUAGGCUGAGACCACCAGAUGUGGAGCCUGGCUGGGACAAUGGGAUUCCAUGUAGGGUUCAAGAACUUCUUUCUCCGUAGAUGCAAUGUCUUUCUGGUGGUGGAAACUUCAUGCAUUUGAUUUGAUGGUCAAUAAAGUUACAAAUUCUACAUCAGAAGGCCCCUUUUUUUCAUAUAUUUGUGCUGCGAACUACAAGCUUAUGCCUCGCUAUAUGCACAUUUUAUGCGUCUGAAAUAAUAAUUUUGGCUGGGGGCUUCGAAUUAUAAUAUUGGUGGCUAAUAUUGGAGUCGUCUUCCCUAUAAAAUGCCUCCAUUGGUGAUUCUGUCUACCUGGGACUUGCAGCGUGAAAUGUCUGAACUAGCAUUAAAGAGGCUGCAGUAGCG
rnacentral:lncRNA from 1 species